GUUACUGGUAUAAUUGAUAUUUGGAUUCUCAUUGUCUAAAAUUAAAUUAGACUAACCUCUUUCAAGGCAAUUAGGAUUACCAAAAAUAUUUGACAUAUGCUAAAAUGUCCUGACAGAACCAGUUCAUGAGUCCGGUUUGUAGGCCGCCUUGCUCACACACACAUUUUCAGUUCUGCUCACAAAUGUUCUCUGGGACUGAGUUAUAUGUUUCUUGAUGACCACUCUAAAACAUUGUCUUUGUUGUCUUUAACAGCUGCAACAAAUUGCUGCACAUGUUAAACCAAGAACCAUUUAAAACACAAAACAAGAAGAACAAUAACAACAAACAGCUCUUAGCAGUAUGUUUAGUGUCAUUGUCCACUUAGAAGACCAAUUUUUGCCCAAGCUUUAACUUUACGGCUGAUGUCUUGAGAUGUUGCUUCGAUAUUUGCACAACAUGUUCUGUCCUCAUUUUGUGAAGUGGACCAGUCCUUUCUGCAGCCGAACACCCUCACAACAUGAUGCUGCCGCACCCAGUUUGGAUGAUCCCAGGCUUGUGAGAUUUCCCCUAUUGUCCUCCAAAUGUGCUGAUGGCCACUACGUACAAACACCACAGGACUUUUCUUUAAAAAUACAACUGUUUUGUCUCUCUAUGCAUUUUCAAACUGUAAUCUAACUUUGCCACCUUUACAUUUGUAGUAAUGGCUUUCCCUUCCUGUUGGUGAAGAAGUGAGGCAUGUUUUGCUGGCUUGGAGUAGGAACAAAAUAUAGACACGAACUUGGAAUGAGCAUGGUGAAGGUUAUAAUAAAACAGAAACCGAGGACAACAGGACAUGGAGCUCAGGCAGAGCAACAAGAAGAACCAGUAAUGAGCAAUGAAAGCCAUGGAGCUUGUAUACUGAGGGAAGAGUGGAGAAGGUAAUCUGAGUCAGAAACUUUCUGGUGUUUGCAGCAGUGCUGCCUUCCUUUAAACACCCAGAGAGGUGACGUGAUAAUAAAUCUCAGUGCUGUAAGGCUGCUCAGAGAGUUCCAGUCCAUUAGCAGGUCCAGCCAGAAAAUGCUACACUUUGUGACGAAGCGUGAAGACAAAAUUGCAUGUUUGAAAAUGGGGGAUCAUACCAAAGUGUCCGGACCUAGAACUACAACCGCUAUCCCUGCUGAACCCCAACUCAUGAUAGGCGGAGGUGCAGGGAGAUGAUGCUGAAAGUUCAUUAAUAAAACUUAGUAAC